rnacentral:rRNA from 1 species
UAGGACUACCCGCUGAACUUAAGCAUAUCAAUAAGCGGAGGAAAAGAAACUAACAAGGAUUCCCCUAGUAACGGCGAGUGAAGAGGGAAGAGCCCAAGAUUGAAAGCUGGCGUCUUCGGCGUCCGCAUUGUAAUCUCAAGAAGUGUUUUCCGCUUCGGACCAAGCCUAAGUCCCUUGGAAAAGGGCAUCAUAGAGGGUGAUAAUCCCGUACAUGGCUUGGAGCGCCCGAAGCUUUGUGAUACGCUUUCUAAGAGUCGAGUUGUUUGGGAAUGCAGCUCAAAAUGGGUGGUAAAUGCCAUCUAAGGCUAAAUAUUGGGGAGAGACCGAUAGCGAACAAGUACAGUGAUGGAAAGAUGAAAAGAACUUUGAAAAGAGAGUUAAACAGUACGUGAAAUUGCCAAAAGGGAAGGGUAGGAGGUCAGAGAUGCGGCCUGGGAUUCAGCCUUGCUUUUGCUUGGUGUUUUUCCCAGAUUGCAGGCCAACGUCGGUUUUGGGCACUGGAGAAGGGUAGGAGGAACGUGGCACCUCUCGGGGUGUGUUAUAGCCUCCUACUGGAUACAGCGACCGAGACCGAGGACAGCAGCGUACUCGCAAGAGC